CAGCUCAAGUUGGAACCAUGCAAACAUUUCAUUAUGGUUGAACAAGUCUUAUAGGCAAUGGCAACCAACACUGAAAAUCUACUGAGAGAAGUACACAGCUGUCUCUCAGGGCAGCCUUGUUGGAUGCAAACAGAAAACUAAAAAGGAAGUCUGAAACAUAUGCCAGUGUUAAGAUGAUUAUUAGAGGUGGCCCAGCUGUCGUGCUCCCUGUGCAAAGAAGAUCAGGCAUCCACAAGGCAGCUGAUCUUAGUAAAAGGGCUCAUUCAGAGAUGGAUUUGGUAUACUCACUGUACCCACCCACAGCUGAGCAAAGGCAAAACCAACACAGAAGGCUGGUCUCAGGUUUCCAUCAUGACCUCAAUGGAGCUGACUGCCUUCUACGAUGACUCUGCAGUCUUGGUGGAGAGGAUCACUCUAGACCCUGUCUUUGUCCAUAUCUGCACUCCUUUGAAGAUAUACCAUAGACAAAGACUGAGUUCUCAAGGAGGGGACCCAGGACAGGACACACCAAGACUCAAGCACCUGUUUCUCAACCUGAACCCUGUGUGGUGAUUCCUGAUCUGAUGCCUCAGGGCUAAUGUGUCAAAGCUGUCAGGAUCUUGGCAAUGAAUAAAAAUCCUGUAGGU